rnacentral:rRNA from 1 species
GAGUUUGAUCCUGGCUCAGGACGAACGCUGGCGGUGCGCCUUAUGCAUGCAAGUCGAGCGAAGCUUUUCAGUAGUUUACUACAGAAAAUGACUGAGCGGCGAACGGGUGAGUAACGCGUGAGCAAUCUACCUUAGUUACAGGGAUAGCCCGAGGAAACUCGGAUUAAUACCUGAUAUUCUUUACAUUUCGCAUGAAAUUAAAAGGAAAGGUCAGCCGAACUAAGAUGGGCUCGCGUUCUAUCAGCUAGUUGGUGAGGUAAAAGCUCACCAAGGCAACGACGGAUAGCUGGUCUGAGAGGACGAUCAGCCACACUGGGACUGAGACACGGCCCAGACUCCUACGGGAGGCUGCAGCAGGGAAUAUUGUGCAAUGAACGAAAGUUUGACACAGCGACACCGCGUGUGGGAUGACGGAUCUAGGUUUGUAAACCACUUUCAGGAGGGAAGAAAAUGACGGUACCUCCAUAAGAAGCCCCGGCCAACUACGUGCCAGCAGCCGCGGUAAUACGUAGGGGGCGAGCGUUGUCCGGAUUUAUUGGGCGUAAAGAGCUCGUAGGCGGUUCAACAAGUCGGUCGUAAAAGUUCAGGGCUCAACCCUGAAAUGUCGAUCGAUACUGUUGUGACUAGGAUACGGUAGAGUGAGUGGAAUUCCGAGUGUAGCGGUGAAAUGCGUAGAUAUUCGGAGGAACACCAAUUGCGAAGGCAGCUCACUGGGCCGCUAUCGACGCUGAGGAGCGAAAGCUAGGGGAGCAAACAGGAUUAGAUACCCUGGCAGUCCUAGCUGUAAACGAUGGAUACUAGACGUAGGAACUGGAUUGACGGUUUCUGUGUCGUAGCUAACGCGUUAAGUAUCCCGCCUGGGGAGUACGGUCGCAAGACUAAAACUCAAAGGAAUUGACGGGACCCCGCACAAGCGGCGGAGCAUGCGCCUUAAUUCGAUGAUACCCGUAGAACCUUACCUGGACUUGACAUGUUCGUCGCGACUCUAAGAGAUUAGAGUUUUCGGUUCGGCCGGACGAAACACAGGUGCUGCAUGGCUGUCGUCAGCUCGUGUCGUGAGAUGUUGGGUUAAGUCCCGCAACGAGCGCAACCCUCACUUUUAGUUGCCAUCAUUAAGUUGGGCACUCUGAAAGAACUGCCAGUGAUAAGCUGGAGGAAGGUGGGGAUGACGUCAAGUCCUCAUGGCCCUUACGUGUUGGGCUACACACGUGCUACAAUGGUAUCUACAACAGGAAGCAAGACUGCGAGGUCAAGCAAAUCCUUAAAAGAUACCUCAGUUCGGAUUGCACUCUGCAACCCGAGUGCAUGAAGCUGGAAUUACUAGUAAUCGUGGAUCAGCGUGCCACGGUGAAUGCGUUCCCGGGUCUUGCACACAC